rnacentral:rRNA from 1 species
GUUAUAUGGUCAAGUGAAGAAGCGCAUACGGUGGAUGCCUUGGCAGUCAGAGGCGAUGAAAGACGUGGUAGCCUGCGAUAAGCUUUGGGGAGUCGGCAAACAGACUGUGAUCCAGAGAUCUCUGAAUGGGGGAACCCAGCCAGCACAAGCUGGUUAUCUUGUACUGAAUACAUAGGUGCAAGAGGCGAACCAGGGGAACUGAAACAUCUAAGUACCCUGAGGAAAAGAAAUCAACCGAGAUUCCCUUAGUAGUGGCGAGCGAACGGGGACCAGCCCUUAAGCUGGUUUGAGAUUAGUGGAACGCUCUGGAAAGUGCGGCCAUAGUGGGUGAUAGCCCCGUACACGAAAAUCUCUUGCCAGUGAAAUCGAGUAGGACGGAGCACGAGAAACUUUGUCUGAAUAUGGGGGGACCAUCCUCCAAGGCUAAAUACUACUGACUGACCGAUAGUGAACCAGUACCGUGAGGGAAAGGCGAAAAGAACCCCGGAGAGGGGAGUGAAAUAGAUCCUGAAACCGUAUGCGUACAAGCAGUGGGAGCCUACUUUGUUAGGUGACUGCGUACCUUUUGUAUAAUGGGUCAGCGACUUAUAUUCAGUGGCGAGCUUAACCGAAUAGGGGAGGCGUAGCGAAAGCGAGUCUUAAUAGGGCGUUUAGUCGCUGGGUAUAGACCCGAAACCGGGCGAUCUAUCCAUGGGCAGGUUGAAGGUUAGGUAACACUGACUGGAGGACCGAACCGACUACCGUUGAAAAGUUAGCGGAUGACCUGUGGAUCGGAGUGAAAGGCUAAUCAAGCUCGGAGAUAGCUGGUUCUCCUCGAAAGCUAUUUAGGUAGCGCCUCAUGUAUCACUGUAGGGGGUAGAGCACUGUUUCGGCUAGGGGGUCAUCCCGACUUACCAAACCGAUGCAAACUCCGAAUACCUACAAGUGCCGAGCAUGGGAGACACACGGCGGGUGCUAACGUCCGUCGUGAAAAGGGAAACAACCCAGACCGUCAGCUAAGGUCCCAAAGUCAUGGUUAAGUGGGAAACGAUGUGGGAAGGCUUAGACAGCUAGGAGGUUGGCUUAGAAGCAGCCACCCUUUAAAGAAAGCGUAAUAGCUCACUAGUCGAGUCGGCCUGCGCGGAAGAUGUAACGGGGCUCAAACCAUACACCGAAGCUACGGGUAUCACGUAAGUGAUGCGGUAGAGGAGCGUUCUGUAAGCCUGUGAAGGUGAGUUGAGAAGCUUGCUGGAGGUAUCAGAAGUGCGAAUGCUGACAUGAGUAACGACAAUGCGAGUGAAAAACUCGCACGCCGAAAGACCAAGGUUUCCUGCGCAACGUUAAUCGACGCAGGGUUAGUCGGUCCCUAAGGCGAGGCUGAAAAGCGUAGUCGAUGGAAAACAGGUUAAUAUUCCUGUACUUCCAGUUAUUGCGAUGGAGGGACGGAGAAGGCUAGGCCAGCUUGGCGUUGGUUGUCCAAGUUUAAGGUGGUAGGCUGAAAUCUUAGGCAAAUCCGGGAUUUCAAGGCCGAGAGCUGAUGACGAGUUGCCUUUAGGCGACGAAGUGGUUGAUGCCAUGCUUCCAAGAAAAGCUCCUAAGCUUCAGAUAACUGGGAACCGUACCCCAAACCGACACAGGUGGUUAGGUAGAGAAUACCAAGGCGCUUGAGAGAACUCGGGUGAAGGAACUAGGCAAAAUGGCACCGUAACUUCGGGAGAAGGUGCGCCGGUGAGGGUGAAGCACUUGCUGCGUAAGCCCACGCCGGUCGAAGAUACCAGGCCGCUGCGACUGUUUAUUAAAAACACAGCACUCUGCAAACACGAAAGUGGACGUAUAGGGUGUGACGCCUGCCCGGUGCCGGAAGGUUAAUUGAUGGGGUUAGCGCAAGCGAAGCUCUUGAUCGAAGCCCCGGUAAACGGCGGCCGUAACUAUAACGGUCCUAAGGUAGCGAAAUUCCUUGUCGGGUAAGUUCCGACCUGCACGAAUGGCGUAACGACAGCGGCGCUGUCUCCACCCGAGACUCAGUGAAAUUGAAAUCGCUGUGAAGAUGCAGUGUAUCCGCGGCUAGACGGAAAGACCCCGUGAACCUUUACUAUAGCUUUGCACUGGACUUUGAAUUUGCUUGUGUAGGAUAGGUGGGAGGCUUUGAAGUGGGGACGCCAGUUCUCAUGGAGCCAUCCUUGAAAUACCACCCUGGCAACUUUGAGGUUCUAACUCAGGUCCGUUAUCCGGAUCGAGGACAGUGUAUGGUGGGUAGUUUGACUGGGGCGGUCUCCUCCCAAAGAGUAACGGAGGAGUACGAAGGUGCGCUCAGACCGGUCGGAAAUCGGUCGUAGAGUAUAAAGGCAAAAGCGCGCUUGACUGCGAGACACACACGUCGAGCAGGUACGAAAGUAGGUCUUAGUGAUCCGGUGGUUCUGUAUGGAAGGGCCAUCGCUCAACGGAUAAAAGGUACUCCGGGGAUAACAGGCUGAUACCGCCCAAGAGUUCAUAUCGACGGCGGUGUUUGGCACCUCGAUGUCGGCUCAUCACAUCCUGGGGCUGAAGUAGGUCCCAAGGGUAUGGCUGUUCGCCAUUUAAAGUGGUACGCGAGCUGGGUUUAGAACGUCGUGAGACAGUUCGGUCCCUAUCUGCCGUGGGCGCUGGAGAAUUGAGGGGGGCUGCUCCUAGUACGAGAGGACCGGAGUGGACGCAUCACUGGUGUUCGGGUUGUCAUGCCAAUGGCACUGCCCGGUAGCUAAAUGCGGAAGAGAUAAGUGCUGAAAGCAUCUAAGCACGAAACUUGCCCCGAGAUGAGUUCUCCCUGAGACUUAAAGUCUCCUGAAGGAACGUUGAAGACGACGACGUUGAUAGGUCGGGUGUGUAAGCGCAGCGAUGCGUUGAGCUAACCGAUACUAAUGAACCGUGAGGCUUAACCUUACAACGCCGAAGCUGUU